GCCACGCAGGGUUGCCGCGAGAGCGUCGGGCUGCGGGGCGCCUCCGCCCUCCGUAGGGUGGGCCUGGGAUGCUCCCGGGGCGGCAGGGGGGCCGGAUUCGCGCUCUGCGGGAAGCUUGGGUCCGCUGAGCCCCUCCGCCUCCCCGGAUUCCUCCCCGGGCUCCGGUUCAAAGGCUAACUGUUCGCUGCUCCCCACGGCAGCGCAGGCCGGGCAGGGCGGCCCCUCCUCUCCGCUCCGCGCUGUGCAACAGCCCAAAGAACUCGUCAGCGGAGGCCCUGCUGUCUCAACUCCAGUCUCCCCAGGGCCGGAAGCCGCUGCCUUAGGAAGAUGCGGGCGCUGCCCUGGUCAAACGACAAGUCUGCGACCGGGCAUCCCGCACCCACCGGGACCCAGGACUCCUUCGACGUCGGAGAGGCCCAGACGACCAGCGAGAGGCGCGGUAGGCUAGAGGGAUCCCAGUGCGCAGGGCAGGACCGCGGCGGCCGAAGCGAAGAGUAUACGCGCAUGCGGGGCGGUGUAGGGGACUAGAGCGUCGCGAGCGCGUACGUGGGGCGGGGCGCGGCGCGGCGGCCGAAGCGAAGAGUAUACGCGCAUGCGAGGCGGCGUAGGGGACUAGAGCGGCGCGAGCGCGUACGUGGGGCGGGGCGGGCUGCGGCGGGACAAAUGCAGAGCGCACGCGCUCGGCUCGCUGGCUACUGCACAGGCAAGGAUGGCGCCGCCUCAGCCUUGUCGGGUCCUACGCUGCUGCAGCUGCCGCCUCUUCCAGGCGCACCAGGUAAAAAAGAGUGUCAAGUGGACAUGCAAAGCCUGUGGAGAGAAGCAGUCCUUUUUGCGGGCUUAUGGUGAAGGCUCUGGUGCUGACUGUAGACGCCAUGUCCAAAAAUUAAAUCUACUGCAGGGACAAGUUUCAGAGCUGCCACUCAGGUCUCUAGAAGAAACUGUCAGUGCUGGUGAAGAAGAAAACGUGGGCCACCAGCAGGCUGGGAAUGUGAAGCAGCAGGAAAAAUCGCAGCCCUCAGAGAGUCACUGGCUGAAGUAUCUAGAAAAGGACUCCCAAGAACUGGAGCUGGAAGGAAGAGGAGUGUGUUUCAGCAAACAGCCUUCAUCCAAAACGGAGGAGCCAGGCCCCUGCCUCAGCCAAGACCUGCCUAGAAAAAGGAAGUGGAGCCAGAGCACCGUCCAGCCUCCAUGCAGCCUUGGCAUCCAGGACUCGGGUGGCUCUGAGGUCGCCUGGGAACCCCAGAAGGUCAGUGACAGAGAACAGUUUCUCUGUGGUCCCAGUGACCACUGAGUAUGUGUGGGAUAAUUUUGUCUUUUGUCACAGUUGACAAAGUAUAAGAUUCCUAACCGCAGAAAGCCCAUCUUCCCACCUGGGUUUCUUGUCUUUUCUGUCUGAAGCCAACUCCUUCCUUGGGUCUAUACCCCCUUUUCUCUCCCAUGCCUCUCGUCUCCCAUGAGGGUAACUCAGGACCAAAGAGCAUCCUGACACCUCGGAGCAGCUAAGGUUGGCCAGCAGGGAUUUUCUGGGUCAGGACCAUCUUCUCAUUCUGCAUGGAGCACGGGGACCUUUGUCCAGGCAGGAGUAGUCCGUGGGCCCGCCCUGAAUCCUGGGAGAUGCUUCCCUCCACACUCGCAUUUGCCCAGGUUGAUCUUGAACCCCUGGCAUCAGGUGAUCUGCCCGCCUCAGCCUCCUAAAGUGCUGGGAUUACAGGCGUGAGCCACUGCACCCGGCCUACACCCAACUUUCAGAGCAUCUUUGGUUCCUGGGGUGAGAGAAGCCAGACCCCAGCUUUUCUAUCCCACCGGGAGCUCGGCGCUGCCACCUCUGCAGCUGCAGAACCCAGCAGGCUCUGGAGAGCUGCUCCCAGGGACAGGCUGGCUUGAUAUGGAAGGCGAAACAAGGCAGCAGCCCCUGCCUCCAGGAGAACUCUGCAGACUGCAGCGCCAGGGAGCUGAGGGGUCCUGGGAAGGAG